CCCUCCAUUUAUCGUCCCCAAAGUGCCAGCCUAUGUGGAUAAAAUUAUGACAAAGUAAUUAGCAGAAAACAUAUGAUCGGCAGAGCAC